ACCUACGGGGGGCAGCAGUAGGGAAUUUUCGUCAAUGGGCGCAAGCCUGAACGAGCAAUGCCGCGUGAACGAGGAAGAUCUUCGGAUCGUAAAGUUCUGUUGAAGGGGAAAAAGAGCGGAGAGAGGAAAUGGUCUCCGAUUGAUAUUACCCUUCGAGGAAGUCACGGCUAACUACGUGCCAGCAGCCGCGGUAAUACGUAGGUGGCGAGCGUUAUCCGGAAUGAUUGGGCGUAAAGGGUGCGUAGGCGGCCUGCUAAGUCUGGAGUGAAAGGUACCGGCUCAACCGGUACAGGCUCUGGAAACUG
rnacentral:rRNA from 1 species